AUUGAACGCUGGCGGCAUGCUUUACACAUGCAAGUCGAACGGUAACAGGUCUUCGGAUGCUGACGAGUGGCGAACGGGUGAGUAAUACAUCGGAACGUGCCCGAUCGUGGGGGAUAACGGAGCGAAAGCUUUGCUAAUACCGCAUACGAUCUACGGAUGAAAGCAGGGGACCGCAAGGCCUUGCGCGGACGGAGCGGCCGAUGGCAGAUUAGCUUGUUGGUAAGGUAAGAGCUUACCAAGGCGACGAUCAGUAUCUGGUUUGAGAGGACGAUCAGACACACUGGAACUGAGACACGGUCCAGACUCCUACGGGAGGCAGCAGUGGGGAAUUUUGGACAAUGGGCGAAAGCCUGAUCCAGCCAUGCCGCGUGAGUGAAGAAGGCCUUCGGGUUGUAAAGCUCUUUCGGCUGGGAAGAAAUCGCACAGGCUAAUACUCUGUGUGGAUGACGGUACCAGCACAAGAAGCACCGGCUAACUACGUG
rnacentral:rRNA from 1 species